rnacentral:rRNA from 1 species
GAUGAACGCUGGCGGCGUGCCUAAUACAUGCAAGUCGAGCGAACGGACGAGAAGCUUGCUUCUCUGAUGUUAGCGGCGGACGGGGGAGUAACACGUGGAUAACCUACCUAUAAGACUGGGAUAACUUCGGGAAACCGGAGCUAAUACCGGAUAAUAUUUUGAACCGCAUGGUUCAAAAGUGAAAGACGGUCUUGCUGUCACUUAUAGAUGGAUCCGCGCUGCAUUAGCUAGUUGGUAAGGUAACGGCUUACCAAGGCAACGAUGCAUAGCCGACCUGAGAGGGUGAUCGGCCACACUGGAACUGAGACACGGUCCAGACUCCUACGGGAGGCAGCAGUAGGGAAUCUUCCGCAAUGGGCGAGAGCCUGACGGAGCAACGCCGCGUGAGUGAUGAAGGUCUUCGGAUCGUAAAACUCUGUUAUUAGGGAAGAACAUAUGUGUAAGUAACUGUGCACAUCUUGACGGUACCUAAUCAGAAAGCCACGGCUAACUACGUG